CAAGUGCAAAAGCAACGGCAGCAGCUCUGCGCUGAGCCUCCCUCACCCACAGCCGCCGACCUCCAGCGGCACAGACAUACUUUGCUGGGCAUGUCAUGCAGUGACCGACCCGCAGUCUGGGAGCAGCUGAGCGCCAGGGAGCCGAGCGAGCACAGCGCCAGCAUCUGCCCUGACACAGCCUUACAUGCAGCCCCGGGAGAAGGAGAAGCAGUGGCCCUUCCCUCGAGCAUCACAAAGCGACUUGAGCAACGUACAGCUUCUUAAAUGAGAUCUCGGACGCGGUCUGGCCGCACGCUGCUCACAGCCAGCAACCUCUGCCUGAGCACGGACGUGGCAGCACCUCUGUGGCUAUUAGAGCCACGUUUUGGCAACCACGAGCCUCACACCAAAGCCAGAAAGAGAUGGGAACGAAUGGCACAGCAAUGGAAGGGCAGUACGGCAGGCCCUGAACUUGUCCCCACCGAGCUGUAAUGCUAACAAGGGAGAAUCGUGCAGCUCAGCCCCCUCCUCCAGCCCUGCGCUGAAAGAGACUGCAAAAACCAUUUCCAGCAUCUGACAUCCGAGCGCAGCCACGUCAGCAAGAGAGCAGCAGACCGAGGGGAUCCCAAAAGGAACCAAAGGUUGAACUCCGGGCAGCAGCCUGCAGUGACCUGACCAGCAGGCAGCACACUGUGUGCAGCCGUGUGCUUUAUCACCUUCCCUUCGUACACAUCCCACGUCGGGAGGGGAUUAAGCAGCAUUAACUGCCUGCCCAGGGCUCCAAUCUGCUGGAGGAUCCAGAGAAGGGGAACGGGUCGGCUUGGCUUGGUCCCAAGCAAAGGACAAAGGGAAGGGCUCAUUGCGUUGUGCCAGCUGCUGCCUGCUCCCAAACGAGCCGUGGUGGGGGGACGGCAGCACUGCAGCCUUGAGAAGACAGCCUGGUGGGAUGAGCCUACAGCGUGGGGUGGUAACCCCAAAGCCACCCGUUGCCAAAGGGUGAAGCUGAAUCUCCCCAUUCACAUCCAUCAGGCUGCUCCCCUGAGUGAUCAUCCCAGCAUCUGCUGUGCUUUGUCUUCACACCUCCUUCCAGCCCAGCAGGCCCUGCAGCCAUUGCAGUGCUCAGAGCACAGCAACAUACUGUGCAUCCCAAAAACUGAGACCUGCAGCAGGAAGCCAGCAAACAAAGCCAUCUCCCCAACGCUGUAACCCCAUCAGCACUGCUCCAUUGCCAUGCCCACAGCCGUUCCAUCAGGGGAAGCAGGCAGCAAAUUUGGAGAGCAGCUCUCUGCUUCAUGUGCAGGAAGAGUAGCACAGGGAGGAGGCAGAUCAUUAGGGCUACGUUUCCUAGGAGAUUUUCACACACUUAAAUGUGAGGAGGGGGGGAGAAUAAGGCAUGAACGUAUCGUGCAGGCAGAAGGUAAAAAUCCCACUGGCACUUCAGAUCUGCUGAGCUAAACUACUGGUGGGCCACCACAGUGCACCGUAAUUGGGCUUAUUGUGUCCUCUUCUCCACGUCACAUGCACAGAAUGACAGCAGGAGAGCAAAGCACGUUGCUCAGAUGCUGAACAGCACAUCCCACAGGAGUUCCAGCAGCCAAGUCCUUGCUUACAUCCUAUUCAAGGCCCAUACUUGGCCACCCAACAGCACAGGGGAGGUUUAGGUUGGAUAUGAGGAGGAAGUUUUUCACCCAGAGGUGGUGACGCACUGAACAGGUUGCCCAAGGAGG
ensembl:lncRNA